rnacentral:rRNA from 1 species
AUGGAGGUAGCCAUAGGUGCGGCGCGAUGGGUGGUGGGCAAGGCGCUGGGCCCUGUCGCCGACGGCUUGCUGGAGGCGUGGGCUGCCAGCAAGGAGCUAGGCCCUAACGUUGAUGCGCUAAAGAUGGAGCUUCUCUAUGUGCAGGGGAUGCUCAACAACUCCCGCAGCCGGAACAUUGACAACCCUGCACUUAACGUGCUGCUGCAGAAGCUGCGGGACCUCGCGUACAAUGCCGAGAACGUGCUGGACGAGCUCGACUACUUCCGUAUCCAGGACCAGCUCGACGGCACCUACGAGGCCGCCGACGAGCAUGCCAGGGGCUGCGUGUGCAAUCUCUACCUCAACGCUCAUCACACCGCUAGAGCUGCUGGCAAACUGCUCUGCUUCUGUCCAUUUUCGCGUACGGCUAGCCGUGUUGAUCCAAGCGAGCCAAGGGAAGAAGAUACAAGGCAACAAGUACUCUGCUGCGCUUGGCCAUGUGCCAAGCAGCGGGGUGCACGCGGAAACACCCCGUCAGCGCCACACAACCACCAGGCCAACGAAGAGGUCAGAAGAUGCAUGUGCAAGCUCGCUUCUGGUGCUUGCAACACCAUCCGUCAUGUUGGUAAACUCCUCCAUUGCUCAUCCCUCCCAACUCAUGAUGAUGAUAGUUCUGUCAUGCCAGUCAUUUGCGGUGCCUGCAAGCACAAGGCAUCCCUGAAAAAGCAUGUGAAAGAAACUCCAAAACUAGAGUUUGAUAGGGUGGAUCUGUCUAAAAGAAUGAAGCAUAUUGUAGAGCAACUGCAGCCCGUGUGUGCAAAGGUUGCAACCAUUCUUAAUCUAGAGUUGUUGGGUUCUAGCCAUACUACCGCCCCAAGCAUUGCCAAGAGUCCAUCCACCACCACCUCUGACAUUAUAGAGUCAACACUGUACGGGAGAGAAACUGCGAAGAAGAGCAUCAUAGAUAGUAUUACUCAUGUUAAAUAUAGUGACAAAGACCUAACUAUCCUGCCAAUUGUUGGUUCGGGUGGCAUAGGGAAGACAACUCUCGUACAACACAUAUAUCACAGCCAAGAAGUGCAAAAACAUUUUCAGGUCAAGGUCUGGAUAUGUGUAUCUCAGAAUUUCAUUGUUAAUAAGCUGACUGAAGAGAUUGAAAAAGCAAUACCUAGUGUGGAAGGUGAAAAAGGGGGUAGAGCAGAAGUGUUAAUUGAACAGAGAUUAAAUUCUAAAAGGUUUCUGCUUGUAUUAGAUGAUAUUUGGAAGUGUGAAUCUGAGGACUGGGAAAGGCUUUUAGUACCACUCAGAAAAGGGCAGACAAAGGGCAAUAUAAUUUUAGUGACAACUCGGUUUCCAGCUGUAGCAGAAAUGGUUAAAACAACUGAUAGUUCAAUAGAUCUGAAGGGCUUAGAACAAGGAGUGUUUACAGACUUUUUUCGAGCAUGCAUUUUUCGCGAUAAGCAAUCACAAAAAGAUCAUCAUGGGUUACUUGAGAUUGGUGAAACCUUUUCGAGCAUACAUUUUAAAUAUUUUUAG